UGGGGAAUCUUAGACAAUGGGCGCAAGCCUGAUCUAGCCAUGCCGCGUGAGUGACGAAGGCCUUAGGGUCGUAAAGCUCUUUCGCCAGGGAUGAUAAUGACAGUACCUGGUAAAGAAACCCCGGCUAACUCCGUGCCAGCAGCCGCGGUAAUACGGAGGGGGUUAGCGUUGUUCGGAAUUACUGGGCGUAAAGCGCACGUAGGCGGAUUGGAAAGUAGGGGGUGAAAUCCCGGGGCUCAACCCCGGAACUGCCUCCUAAACUAUCAGUCUAGAGUUCGAGAGAGGUGAGUGGAAUUCCAAGUGUAGAGGUGAAAUUCGUAGAUAUUUGGAGGAACACCAGUGGCGAAGGCGGCUCACUGGCUCGAUACUGACGCUGAGGUGCGAAAGUGUGGGGAGCAAACA
rnacentral:rRNA from 1 species